UAGCUGGAACUUCUGAAACUCUGCUUAGCAAGAGAAGAAAAGAUCCUUAGGAAUAAUUGACAGAUAAGAGAUGACGGAGAUAAAAAGAAAUGGACUGAGCCACUCGCCCUAUACAUAACAACUAUGGAUGGGG